ACUACGUGUGGCAGCAGUGAGGAAUAUUGGUCAAUGGACGAGAGUCUGAACCAGCCAAGUAGCGUGAAGGAUGACUGCCCUAUGGGUUGUAAACUUCUUUUAUAUGGGAAUAACAUGUUCCACGUGUGGGAUUUUGUAUGUACCAUAUGAAUAAGGAUCGGCUAACUCCGUGCCAGCAGCCGCGGUAAUACGGAGGAUCCGAUCGUUAUCCGGAUUUAUUGGGUUUAAAGGGAGAGUAAGUGGGUUGUUGAGUCAGUUGUGAAAGUUUGCAGCUCAACCGUAAAAUUGCAUGUGAAACUGGCAGUCUUGAGUACAGUAGAGGUGGGCGGAAUGCGUGGUGUAGCGGUGAAAUGCUUAGAUAUCACGAAGAACUCCGAUUGCGAAGGCAGCUCACUGGACUGCAACUGACACUGAGGCUCGAAAGUGUGGGUAUCAAACAGGAUUAGAUACCCCAGUAGUC
rnacentral:rRNA from 1 species